GGAGACUACCUAAUUGCAAGGU
rnacentral:miRNA from 12 species